AUGGACUUUGAGUAUAGUGGUCCCGUAUAGUUUCCGGCUGUUGGCAAUUGCCAAAUGGAGUCAAGACACUGGCUUCUAUUAUGGAACAAACUAUAGGAUGUUCCCUAGCAAGUUUGACAGGUUGCUCGAUGGCGGACACUUGGCAGUAACAGCGGAAGUCUACCCGCCCCACAUCAUGGAAAAAGAAACUAUAACCGAAGGCGAAAAUCCUUUUCGAGGACCUGUGGUCGAGAUUCUCAAGAUCUUGACUUCUUCCAUAAAUUUUACAUACAGCGUUACUCGGCCGCCCGACGGGGCAUAUGGUUAUCGUUAUCCCAAUGGAACCUGGAAUGGAAUGAUUGGAAUGUUACAUAGGAAG